rnacentral:rRNA from 1 species
UUAAGCGACUAAGCGUACACGGUGGAUGCCCUGGCAGUCAGAGGCGAUGAAGGACGUGCUAAUCUGCGAUAAGCGUCGGUAAGGUGAUAUGAACCGUUAUAACCGGCGAUUUCCGAAUGGGGAAACCCAGUGUGUUUCGACACACUAUCAUUAACUGAAUCCAUAGGUUAAUGAGGCGAACCGGGGGAACUGAAACAUCUAAGUACCCCGAGGAAAAGAAAUCAACCGAGAUUCCCCCAGUAGCGGCGAGCGAACGGGGAGCAGCCCAGAGCCUGAAUCAGUGUGUGUGUUAGUGGAAGCGUCUGGAAAGGCGCGCGAUACAGGGUGACAGCCCCGUACACAAAAAUGCACAUGCUGUGAGCUCGAUGAGUAGGGCGGGACACGUGGUAUCCUGUCUGAAUAUGGGGGGACCAUCCUCCAAGGCUAAAUACUCCUGACUGACCGAUAGUGAACCAGUACCGUGAGGGAAAGGCGAAAAGAACCCCGGCGAGGGGAGUGAAAAAGAACCUGAAACCGUGUACGUACAAGCAGUGGGAGCACGCUUAGGCGUGUGACUGCGUACCUUUUGUAUAAUGGGUCAGCGACUUAUAUUCUGUAGCAAGGUUAACCGAAUAGGGGAGCCGAAGGGAAACCGAGUCUUAACUGGGCGUUAAGUUGCAGGGUAUAGACCCGAAACCCGGUGAUCUAGCCAUGGGCAGGUUGAAGGUUGGGUAACACUAACUGGAGGACCGAACCGACUAAUGUUGAAAAAUUAGCGGAUGACUUGUGGCUGGGGGUGAAAGGCCAAUCAAACCGGGAGAUAGCUGGUUCUCCCCGAAAGCUAUUUAGGUAGCGCCUCGUGAAUUCAUCUCCGGGGGUAGAGCACUGUUUCGGCAAGGGGGUCAUCCCGACUUACCAACCCGAUGCAAACUGCGAAUACCGGAGAAUGUUAUCACGGGAGACACACGGCGGGUGCUAACGUCCGUCGUGAAGAGGGAAACAACCCAGACCGCCAGCUAAGGUCCCAAAGUCAUGGUUAAGUGGGAAACGAUGUGGGAAGGCCCAGACAGCCAGGAUGUUGGCUUAGAAGCAGCCAUCAUUUAAAGAAAGCGUAAUAGCUCACUGGUCGAGUCGGCCUGCGCGGAAGAUGUAACGGGGCUAAACCAUGCACCGAAGCUGCGGCAGCGACGCUUAUGCGUUGUUGGGUAGGGGAGCGUUCUGUAAGCCUGCGAAGGUGUGCUGUGAGGCAUGCUGGAGGUAUCAGAAGUGCGAAUGCUGACAUAAGUAACGAUAAAGCGGGUGAAAAGCCCGCUCGCCGGAAGACCAAGGGUUCCUGUCCAACGUUAAUCGGGGCAGGGUGAGUCGACCCCUAAGGCGAGGCCGAAAGGCGUAGUCGAUGGGAAACAGGUUAAUAUUCCUGUACUUGGUGUUACUGCGAAGGGGGGACGGAGAAGGCUAUGUUGGCCGGGCGACGGUUGUCCCGGUUUAAGCGUGUAGGCUGGUUUUCCAGGCAAAUCCGGAAAAUCAAGGCUGAGGCGUGAUGACGAGGCACUACGGUGCUGAAGCAACAAAUGCCCUGCUUCCAGGAAAAGCCUCUAAGCAUCAGGUAACAUCAAAUCGUACCCCAAACCGACACAGGUGGUCAGGUAGAGAAUACCAAGGCGCUUGAGAGAACUCGGGUGAAGGAACUAGGCAAAAUGGUGCCGUAACUUCGGGAGAAGGCACGCUGAUAUGUAGGUGAAGCGACUUGCUCGUGGAGCUGAAAUCAGUCGAAGAUACCAGCUGGCUGCAACUGUUUAUUAAAAACACAGCACUGUGCAAACACGAAAGUGGACGUAUACGGUGUGACGCCUGCCCGGUGCCGGAAGGUUAAUUGAUGGGGUUAGCGCAAGCGAAGCUCUUGAUCGAAGCCCCGGUAAACGGCGGCCGUAACUAUAACGGUCCUAAGGUAGCGAAAUUCCUUGUCGGGUAAGUUCCGACCUGCACGAAUGGCGUAAUGAUGGCCAGGCUGUCUCCACCCGAGACUCAGUGAAAUUGAACUCGCUGUGAAGAUGCAGUGUACCCGCGGCAAGACGGAAAGACCCCGUGAACCUUUACUAUAGCUUGACACUGAACAUUGAGCCUUGAUGUGUAGGAUAGGUGGGAGGCUUNGAAGUGUGGACGCCAGUCUGCAUGGAGCCGACCUUGAAAUACCACCCUUUAAUGUUUGAUGUUCUAACGUUGACCCGUAAUCCGGGUUGCGGACAGUGUCUGGUGGGUAGUUUGACUGGGGCGGUCUCCUCCUAAAGAGUAACGGAGGAGCACGAAGGUUGGCUAAUCCUGGUCGGACAUCAGGAGGUUAGUGCAAUGGCAUAAGCCAGCUUGACUGCGAGCGUGACGGCGCGAGCAGGUGCGAAAGCAGGUCAUAGUGAUCCGGUGGUUCUGAAUGGAAGGGCCAUCGCUCAACGGAUAAAAGGUACUCCGGGGAUAACAGGCUGAUACCGCCCAAGAGUUCAUAUCGACGGCGGUGUUUGGCACCUCGAUGUCGGCUCAUCACAUCCUGGGGCUGAAGUAGGUCCCAAGGGUAUGGCUGUUCGCCAUUUAAAGUGGUACGCGAGCUGGGUUUAGAACGUCGUGAGACAGUUCGGUCCCUAUCUGCCGUGGGCGCUGGAGAACUGAGGGGGGCUGCUCCUAGUACGAGAGGACCGGAGUGGACGCAUCACUGGUGUUCGGGUUGUCAUGCCAAUGGCACUGCCCGGUAGCUAAAUGCGGAAGAGAUAAGUGCUGAAAGCAUCUAAGCACGAAACUUGCCCCGAGAUGAGUUCUCCCUGAC